AAUGAACGCUGGCGGUAGGCCUAACACAUGCAAGUCGAACGGCAGCACAGUAAGAGCUUGCUCUUACGGGUGGCGAGUGGCGGACGGGUGAGUAAUACAUCGGAAUCUAGUUUUUCGUUUGGGGUAACGUAUUGAAACUUACGCUAAUAACGCAUACGACCUACGGGUGAAAGCAGGGGAUCUUUUGACCUUUCGCGAUUGAAUGAGCCGAUGUCGGAUUAGCUAGUUGGCGGGGUAAAGGGCCACCAAGGCCACGAUCCGUAUCUGGUCUGAGAUGAUGAUCAGCAACACUGGAAGUGAGACACGGCCCAGACUCCUACGGGAGGCCGCAGUGGGGACUAUUGGACAAUGGGCGGAAGGCUAAUCCAGCCCUACCGCGUAGGUGAAGAAGGCCUUCGGGUUGUAAAGCCAUUUUGUUGGGAAAGAAAAGCAGCAGGUUAAUCCCGCGCUGUUCUGACGGUACCCAAAGAAUAAGCACCGGCUAACUUCGUG
rnacentral:rRNA from 1 species